GGGCCCGUAGUUUAGUGGUAAAACGCCUCAUUUGCAAUGAGGAGAGCGGCGGUUCGAUCCCGCCCGGGUCCA
rnacentral:tRNA from 1 species